CAGUAGCCGCGGGAAUACGUAGGUGGCAAGCGUUGUCCGGAAUUAUUGGGCGUAAAGGGCUCGCAGGCGGUUUCUUAAGUCUGAUGUGAAAGCCCCCGGCUCAACCGGGGAGGGUCAUUGGAAACUGGGAAACUUGAGUGCAGAAGAGGAGAGUGGAAUUCCACGUGUAGCGGUGAAACGCGUAGAGAUGUGGAGGAACACCAGUGGCGAAGGCGACUCUCUGGUCUGUAACUGACGCUGAGGAGCGAAAGCGUGGGGAGCGAACAGGAUUAGAUACCCCGGUAGUCCCUGUCUCUUAUAC
rnacentral:rRNA from 1 species